rnacentral:rRNA from 1 species
GAUGAACGCUGGCGGCGUGCCUAAUACAUGCAAGUCGAGCGAACGGACGAGAAGCUUGCUUCUCUGAUGUUAGCGGCGGACGGGUGAGUAACACGUGGAUAACCUACCUAUAAGACUGGGAUAACUUCGGGAAACCGGAGCUAAUACCGGAUGAUAUUUUGAACCGCAUGGUUCAAAAGUGAAAGACGGUCUUGCUGUCACUUAUAGAUGGAUCCGCGCUGCAUUAGCUAGUUGGUAAGGUAACGGCUUACCAAGGCAACGAUGCAUAGCCGACCUGAGAGGGUGAUCGGCCACACUGGAACUGAGACACGGUCCAGACUCCUACGGGAGGCAGCAGUAGGGAAUCUUCCGCAAUGGGCGAAAGCCUGACGGAGCAACGCCGCGUGAGUGAUGAAGGUCUUCGGAUCGUAAAACUCUGUUAUUAGGGAAGAACAUAUGUGUAAGUAACUGUGCACAUCUUGACGGUACCUAAUCAGAAAGCCACGGGUAACUACGUG